rnacentral:lncRNA from 1 species
AUGCGUGUCAAGAUUUCAGAGUUGCUUGCAUAUCUGUGUAUCCCUAUUUUUCAUCUGUACAUGUAAACCACUAUUUGCACAUGCAGAAUGGAUCCUUAGAUGUGCAAACACUUGAUCUCCUUGCAUAAAUAUUUUUGCAAGCAGGUCAGUGUAUGAGAAUGGCUACAAGAAAUACAGGCUUCCUCGGCCCUGCUUCCACUGUUACCACUUUAAGAUGUCUGUGGAAAUCAAAGAACGUGGUCCUGGGAUCUGGAAGUUAAGAGAUGGUAGCCAUACUGGGCCCAGCGGAGCUGAAGGUCUUGUAACUUGUGUCCUCGGAGGAGAAAGAAAACAGCCCCCGCGCCCCGGGCUCGCUGCAGACGGUGCAUUUGCUAACCAGCAAGGGGCGUACGGAAACUCGCUGCAAAGACACCGUGGAAAAAUGCAGAGGACAGCAAUGGCCGAACACUGCUUUUCAGAGGAGGAGGAG